GAGACACCCUUCUGGGGCAGGACUUGCUUCAGUGGGGCUUUGGUGCUCACUGAGUCUGCCCUCUAAGAGUGUGUCUCU
rnacentral:pre_miRNA from 1 species